ACUUCUUAGUAAGAUCGAGAAAUAUGCGCAAAGCAUUUGUCUGUGCAGUUGCGGCGUUGACGUUCACCCUAUUGCUACAUGUAAAUGGCGACGUAGAGACUGUCUAUACAUGUUCUAGAGGAGGAGACUAUCCGUGCGUGUACCUUGAUGUAUGCACUCAAUGCUCACCAAAUAACACAGAACGUAACGGACAUGGCUUUUUCUACUAUAACAAGGACGAAAAUUCAUGCGUUCACGUAUCAGGAAAGAGUGACAACUGCAACGCCUUCAGUGAUAAGGAAAGCUGUCAAAUUUUGUGUGGUUUAGCUGAUGAUGACGACAAAUAGACGUGUAGUAGUAGCUUAGAAUUGAUAUUUCUUUGGCUAAAUUCCUGCACACACAUCCCACAUUGGUUGUCGUUGUUCGAAUGACGUGUUGGCUAAAACAAAAGGUGCGGUUUCUUUUACAGCAGUCAUAUAAACAAACACUUA
rnacentral:lncRNA from 1 species